UGGCGGAGACCUUCUUCGCCUUCUUCUUAGAGAUCCAGCCAAGAGUUCAACUUUUUCUUAGAACCCUUCUUGCUUUUCUUCUUAUUGAUCUUAUCAAUAAGAAGAACUGGAGCCUUUUCACCUUUGAAAUGGCUCUCUACUAUUUUGAGCAUAUUUAAUAGUUCAGACAGGCUGAUAUUCAGUUUGUUCAUAUGAUAGUUAAUGACAAACUGAGAGAAGG
rnacentral:lncRNA from 1 species